rnacentral:rRNA from 1 species
GAACGGAUGCUAAUACCGGAUAACAACAGAUGAUGCCUAUCAACUGUUUAAAAGAUGGUUCUGCUAUCACUCUUGGAUGGACCUGCGGUGCAUUAGCUAGUUGGUAGGGUAACGGCCUACCAAGGCGAUGAUGCAUAGCCGAGUUGAGAGACUGAUCGGCCACAUUGGGACUGAGACACGGCCCAAACUCCUACGGGAGGCAGCAGCC